UAUUUUCCCUUUUUCUCUACUCCCUCGCAAGCUCCAGGACGCGCGCCACCACCACCAGCGCCAUGCCUCCCUGGCCACCUGAACUGACCGGACCACGGUCUCCAACGCACCACCAUCAAUCCACAGCACCUCCCUCUCCGUCCACGUUUCUUAAAAACGCAGCAGCGCCACAACUCAGCGCCGUCGAUCCUAGUCAUCGAUCACGCUCGACGUCACGUCUCUCCCCGUUCGCGACUCCGGCGGCUAAGCACAGGCGGGAUGUAGUUCUUCCUUGGAUCGACAACGAUGAUGGCAGCGGCUAUCGGCGCUCGAUCUGGCCAAACGGGCCACUAACUCGAUGAACGGACAUCAAAUCGGAGUUCUCCAUGAAAUUUCGAGCAAAAUGGUGCAAGCCUCAUGAAGCGUUGGUGAGGCUCGAUUUUCCCGUCACCGUAGAUGGCGGCGACAGCGGCGGUCCGGCGAUACUCCGGCGAGGCACCAAAAUGGCAGAAUUCUCGUUUUCUCGUAGGCUAUGGAUUCGUCGUCUGAUUUCCAAUCGAGGUUUAUAAAAUUCUGAAAUGCGAGGACAAAGGCUGGAAGCAUGUGGCUA